AUUGAACGCUGGCGGCAGGCUUAACACAUGCAAGUCGGGCGGAGUGGCGGACGGGUGAGUAAUGUAUUGGGACGUACCUAAUAGAGGGGGAUAACUACUGGAAACGGUGGCUAAUACCGCAUACCAUCCGAUGAGCCCAUAUGGGAUUAGCUGGUUGGUGGGGUAACGGCUGUCCUAGGCGACGAUCCCUAGCUGGUCUGAGAGGAUGAUUAUCCAGACUGGGAAUGAGACACGGCCCAGACGCCUCCGGGAGGCAGCAGUGGGGAAUAUUGGACAAUGGGCGAAAGCCUGAUCCAGCCAUGCCGCGUGUGUGAAGAAGGUCUUCGGAUUGUAAAGCACUUUAAGUUGGGAGGCGUUACCAAGAGAAUAAGCACCGGCUAACUUCGUGCCAGCAGCCGCGGUAAUUC
rnacentral:rRNA from 1 species